GAUGAACGCUGGCGGCGUGCCUAACACAUGCAAGUCGAGCGAACCCUUCGGGGUGAGCGGCGGACGGGUGAGUAACGCGUGGGUAACCUGCCCUGUACACACGGAUAACAUACCGAAAGGUAUGCUAAUACGGGAUAACAUAUGAGAGUCGCAUGGCUUUUGUAUCAAAGCUUUUGCGGUACAGGAUGGACCCGCGUCUGAUUAGCUAGUUGGUAAGGUAACGGCUUACCAAGGCAACGAUCAGUAGCCGACCUGAGAGGGUGAUCGGCCACAUUGGGACUGAGACACGGUCCAAACUCCUACGGGAGGCAGCAGUGGGGAAUAUUGCACAAUGGGCGAAAGCCUGAUGCAGCAACGCCGCGUGAGCGAUGAAGGCCUUCGGGUCGUAAAGCUCUGUCCUCAAGGAAGAUAAUGACGGUACUUGAGGAGGAAGCCCCGGCUAACUACGUGCCAGCAGCCGCGGUAAUACGUAGGGGGCUAGCGUUAUCCGGAAUUACUGGGCGUAAAGGGUGCGUAGGCGGUCUUUCAAGCCAGAAGUGAAAGGCUACGGCUCAACCGUAGUAAGCUUUUGGAACUGUAGGACUUGAGUGCAGGAGAGGAGAGUGGAAUUCCUAGUGUAGCGGUGAAAUGCGUAGAUAUUAGGAGGAACACCAGUAGCGAAGGCGGCUCUCUGGACUGUAACUGACGCUGAGGCACGAAAGCGUGGGGAGCAACCAGGAUUAGAUACCCUGGUAGUCCACGCCGUAAACGAUGAGUACUAGGUGUCGGGGGUUACCCCCCUCGGUGCCGCAGCUAACGCAUUAAGUACUCCGCCUGGGAAGUACGCUCGCAAGAGUGAAACUCAAAGGAAUUGACGGGGACCCGCACAAGUAGCGGAGCAUGUGGUUUAAUUCGAAGCAACGCGAAGAACCUUACCUAAGCUUGACAUCCCACUGACCUCUCCCUAAUCGGAGAUUUCCCUUCGGGGACAGUGGUGACAGGUGGUGCAUGGUUGUCGUCAGCUCGUGUCGUGAGAUGUUGGGUUAAGUCCCGCAACGAGCGCAACCCUUGCCUUUAGUUGCCAGCAUUAAGUUGGGCACUCUAGAGGGACUGCCGAGGAUAACUCGGAGGAAGGUGGGGAUGACGUCAAAUCAUCAUGCCCCUUAUGCUUAGGGCUACACACGUGCUACAAUGGGUGGUACAGAGGGUUGCCAAGCCGUGAGGUGGAGCUAAUCCCUUAAAGCCAUUCUCAGUUCGGAUUGUAGGCUGAAACUCGCCUACAUGAAGCUGGAGUUACUAGUAAUCGCAGAUCAGAAUGCUGCGGUGAAUGCGUUCCCGGGUCU
rnacentral:rRNA from 1 species